CCUUGUGUGGGCUUUACAUGGUGAUAAUGGGAUGAUUUACCCUUACAGUGUCUUCCAUGAGAAGGAAAUCCUUCAGAGGGUAAGCUCUGCUGAACACCCGUUCCUGGUGUCAUUGCAUGGAACCUUCCAGACGGCAUCUCACCUGUUUUAUGUGAUGGAAUAUCUCCCUGGAGGUGACAUGUUUGAAUUUAUACGAUCUGUGGAACUAGAAGAGCCUGAUGUCAUGUAAGUAGAAUGGGACUGGGGGGAGGUUAUCAAGGGGGUACUUUCAGUGUAGCAUCACCACAGUAUAUAUUUUUAAAAUGUAAUGUAAUACAAGCAAGGUAUACCUAUGAUACAGGUAACUGCUUUUCUUCUCACUAUGAUUACCUUAAUUCUCACACAUAGUUUAUAUAUCAAUAAAAAAAUAUUAAAGUAACUGAAUUUUAUUUUUUCUCUAUUCAGGUUUUACACCGCAUGCAUUGUUCUUGGCCUGGAGGCAUUACAUCAGCUUGGCAUUGUCCAUAGGUAAGCAUUAAUAACACUAAAAUCAUCUAUAUUUCCAGAAGGAGCUACUGAGAACUACUACUAAGAACACUUCUAAUCUAUCUUGUAGCACUGGAAUAAUUUGCUUGAUGUUAUUAUAAGGAUUAUAUAUGUAUACCUACUAAACUAUUGACUUGGUUUUAAUUCAGAGAUCUAAAGCUUGAGAAUUUGCUGUUGGACCGGGAUGGCUACCUUAAGAUCGUAGACUUCGGCCUCAGCAAAGACAGUAAGUGCUGCUUAUAAUUCUGGAGCAUACAAGGGAUUAGAUUAAAUUAUUAGGUAUUGUUAUAUUUAGAUAAAACAGAUCUGAGUGGGUGUGUAGUUAGGAAGCAAGCAGUUAAGGAAAGUCCCUCAUUACUUUACAUUAGGGCCCCAGAUCUGCAGUUUCCUCACAGUGUUUCUUGUGUUUAAGGAUUUGGAUACAGCGACCGCACAAAGACCAUAUGCGGUACAAAAACAUACAUGGCCCCGGAAAUAUAUCUAAAACUUGGAUACGGCAUGGCCGCUGACUGGUGGGCCCUAGGAAUCACCGUUUAUAUUAUGCUCCUGUAUGAGGUAAGCACAAUUCCUAUAUUAUCAACUUACAUUGGGGAAUAAUUGCCAUUGGUGUUUUAUAAUGUGACUAAACAUAUUGAGGAAUAUAUGAUUAAUAUAUAAGUAUAAUACAUAUUAUAAUCUCCAUAUUUACAAGAAUAACUUUCUAUUCUCUCAGAAAUAAUAUAGCAUGAAUAUUACUGUGUUUGGCUGCCCUUUAUCAUUUAAAUAAGAAAUACCCCCAUGGUGCUGUACUAAGAGACGGUAUCUGUAUGACCAGCUGCACAUGAGAGAUGUUGUUCCGUACAGAGUCUGCAUUAAGUUCAUAUUGCAACAAAUCUCUUAGGAAGGUUGUUUCGCUAAAAAAAUAAUUAUUCACUUUUUCAGUUACCAUUCAACCAUGAAGAUCCAGUCGAGCAAAUGAUGAGCAUCCUUUAUGAUGACAUCAGCUUACCAGAAGACCUUUCAGAGGAUGCCUCAACACUAAUAAAAGAACUGUUAGAAAAAGAUCCAGAAUUUCGCCUCGGUUCGGGUGACGCCGGGGCUGAAAUGGUUAAAGAGCACCCCUUCUUCAAAGAUAUGGACUGGGACCAUCUGUUGCAGAGACGAAUAACGGCU